rnacentral:rRNA from 1 species
UUUGACCUCAAAUCAGGUAGACUA